UGUUGACCACCACCUCCUUGUCUUUUUCAGCUGGCAGCUUCAAGAAGAAGAUUUAUAGUGGAGAACUGCAGCUGUGGGAUCGGAAAGGGCUCCCAGCCAGCUCAGAAGGACUGCUUCAGGAGAUCCUUUUGGCCGGAGACGAAGGGCUGCAUCCAGGUGAACACACACGACUGGAGCUCAGCAGCACUUCACAGAUGCUCCUGGAAACAGAGUCAGAGCUCCUCCAGAGGAUACAGACACUGGCCCAGCUGCUUCUCAGCCUCCAGGUAAGUAGCCCCACUUAUUUUCACACACAAACACACACCACCACACACACAUUACUUAGCUUUCAUUGUUUAUAUUUUGGAGGCCUGGAUUUAGAUAGCCUGGGCCAAUUUUUGCCAGUUGACUGGCUGCUGCCGAGGUCUUGGUGCCUUCUUUCAUUGUUUCUUUAUGACACUAAUCCAGUGAAAAGCAAUAAUCUGUUUGUCCGUUAGCAUUAUUCCACUUUGUAUGCUUUUC